rnacentral:rRNA from 1 species
GACAGAGGUGCCAAGCGUUAGGCGGAAUCACUGGGCUUAAAGCGUGUGUAGGCGGGUCGUUAAGUGUCUUGUGAAAUCCCCCGGCUCAACCGGGGAAUGGCUGGGCAUACUGGCGAUCUUGAGCGGCCUAGGGGCAGAUGGAACAAGUGGUGGAGCGGUGAAAUGCGUAGAUAUCACUUGGAACGCCAAAGGUGAAAACAGUCUGCUGGGGGCCUGCUGACGCUGAGACACGAAAGCCAGGGGAGCGAACGGG